rnacentral:rRNA from 1 species
GACGUAGGGCGCGAGCGUUGUCCGGAUUUAUUGGGCGUAAAGAGCGUGUAGGCGGUUUGGUAGGUCCGCUGUGAAAACUCGAGGCUCAACUUCGAGACGCCGGUGGAAACCAUCAGACUAGAGUCCGGAAGAGGAGAGUGGAAUUCCUGGUGUAGCGGUGAAAUGCGCAGAUAUCAGGAAGAACACCCGUGGCUAAGGCGGCUCUCUAGUACGGUACUGACGCUGAGACGCGAAAGCGUGGGGAGCGAACAGG